rnacentral:rRNA from 1 species
UACGUAGGGUCCGAGCGUUGUCCGGAAUUACUGGGCGUAAAGAGCUCGUAGGUGGUUUGUCGCGUUGUUCGUGAAAAACUCACAGCUCAACUGUGGGCGUGCGGGCGAUACGGGGCAGACUGGAGUACUGCAGGGGGAGACUGGAAUUCCUGGUGUAGCGGUGGAAUGCGCAGAUAUCAGGGAGGGAACACCCGGGUGGGCGAA